AAGGGAGACCUAAUUCCGGUAGGAGACGAAAAAAAAGUAGUCCCAACCAAGAAUCAAUCCCAAAAGGUCGGAACGAGGUAUGAGGCUUUCAAACUAGGUUCUGGGUUCAUAAAAGACCUGAAUCAGGAACAAGGGCUAUUAGCUCAGGUGGUUAGAACGCACCCCUGAUAAGGGUGAGGUCCCUGGUUCGAGUCCAGGAUGGCCCACCUGCACAGGUGGCAAAAACAAGAGAAGCUCCGAAUCAGCACCUUAUCUUAUAUACAUAUAUAAGAGAGAAUGCUGGCUCUGAGUACAGAGUCCAGAGGAACCUUGAAAACUGCAUAGAGCUAGGUGAAAAAGCCAAAAAAGAAGACCGCAA
rnacentral:tRNA from 1 species